rnacentral:rRNA from 1 species
UACAGAGGGGGCAAGCGUUAUUCGGAAUUAUUGGGCGUAAAGGGCGCGUAGGCGGCGGUCACAGUCAGAUGUGAAAUUCCUGGGCUUAACCUGGGGGCUGCAUUUGAUACGUGGUUGCUUGAGUGGGGAAGAGGGUCGUGGAAUUCCCAGUGUAGAGGUGAAAUUCGUAGAUAUUGGGAAGAACACCGGUGGCGAAGGCGGCGACCUGGUCCUUGACUGACGCUGAGGCGCGAAAGCGUGGGGAGCGAACAGG